rnacentral:lncRNA from 1 species
CUAUUGUCUUGAGCGCGUAUGAUUGUGGUCGUCGAUGACUAUACCGUGAUAUGUGCAAAGUUGAUGAAGAUAGCUUGAGCAACCUUUUUCUUCUGAAAGCUAUUGAUCACAAAAUUUGUAAUGACAAUUUAACUUCAGAAAGAACAUUGAAACAUGGAUCCUUCUCUCAAUCGAAGAAGUUGAUGUGCUUAAUUACUAAGAGAGAACCCAUAGAUCUCAAGCCAACAAUAAUAAGCAUUUAAGCUACUUAUAACUUGAUUUUCCAUGAGAAAAGAACAUAUGUUAAAUCAUAUUUAAAAUAUUAUGAAGUCAUAAAAGCAUAGAAGCAUCAGAAUUUUCCACUGAAGACACUAUGUUAGUGCACCAAAAAAUAGGUCAAGAGAAGUGAAAGGAAAAAAGAUCAAGUAAAUAACACAUGGAAGGAGAUCUACAGGAAGUAAUUAUUCGCUUGUACGUAUCAAGUUAUUUUUAAGAAAGGAUAAGAAGGGCAUAUAUAGGGGAGUAUGUAUUUUGUUUUCUAGAAUACGCCCGAGUAUGCCUAUUAUGCAUUAAAGGAGAGGGGAAAAGAACCCCAGCGAAGAACUCUUCCAUGUUUUACACAUAACGUAAUUAGAGUUGAAUUAACUGAACUGGUACAAAUAGGGGAGUAUGUACAGCAAAACUGCACACUUCCAUGUUUUACUGAUACCGCCAUUAGAGCUAAAUUAACUGAACUGAAUCUGUUCCUUGUAUGAGCAAAAAUACUAAGCUUUUAACUGUACAACCCCACAGCCAGUCAAAUGAUGCAUAUAACUGCUGCAUGCUAUGUGGGAGCGGGAAAAAACACUUCUUAAGGUAAUUUAAACAUCCAACAGUUGGUGGAAAAACUAUAUUACUACAGUCAGAAUCCAUAUAUGAAAACAAAGUAAGUAAAAGAAAAAUGAAAUGGAAAACGCUCCACACAAAAUAUAGAUAUGUAUGAACUGCUAGGAUAGAAAAUAAAUUAAGGAAUGCCUUGGAGAGAACUAUUUACACAUGAAAGAAGUGAGCUAUCAUGCUGGAAAUUCGGAUGCAUGACUAAACAUCCCACCAGGAAUAAAAAUGAGGUAAGCUGCUAGAUCUUGCCUGUUGGUAAAUGCCUGGCCAUUUUUUUUACAAAAAGUUUCUAAAUUCAGAUUGGAUAGAACAAAUAAAGCAUUGUUUACCCUUUACAUAACUUACCUGGUGAUAGCAAGUAAAAAUACUCCUACCAAAGCUUCUACACCAUCUUAUCAUGUUAAUGCAUAUAUUUUUGUAAGUUACUCAAAUAUGGACCACGAUCUCCUAGAGACCCAAAGACCAAUUACGUGGUAGAGUAAUGUCUAAAUAGAGGAAGCACGAUGUUAGUUGUCCAUGUGCCUGAUACGAUUUGCACUUUUUUUGUUUGAAAAAAAAAUCAAUUUACACCUGCACGCCAAGAGUUCAUGGUUACACAAAAUAAUCAGAAGAGUUCAGGUUCACUGAAAGUUCAAUAUAGAAUAACGCAUCGUCGAUGUGUUAUACACACAUGUUGAAUGCAAGGAAUAAUAAACCACUAACUGGACCAUAUCCAAUGUUAAAUACAUCGCAGAAUCUAUAUUGGUGGAAUAGUCUUGCUACUUCUCACUGAAAGUAUUGCUGAGGGAAAAAGUACAAUUCAAACCAUAGUUUUAAAUAGGAGUUAUAGCCCGCUAUAGCUGAUUCGGAGGUCCGCCCCUAUUAUCCAUAGCCCGCUAUUUAUAACAUUGGUUCAAACCCUGAUCUGGACUACAUCAUCACACAUAGGACCGUUGAGAAGAUCUCAUGGAAGCAAUCAAUUAAACAGUUCACGUAUGAGAAACUUGACACCUAUGUCUCUUGGACAUGAGAUAAGGCACAGUAAUACCACAAAGAAGUAGAAGCAAUAUGAUUAUUUGUAGUUCUAUGAAAUAAACAUUCCAGUCAAAAACUACAAUUACGGAUUGCUAAAUUUGCAUGUGACAUUUCUCCACAUUAGGGUACUACAAUGGUCAAUUUUACAAUCUCCCCUACUUUAUUUUUACUUUUAUCUUUGAAGGGCAGCACAUAUGAAUCUGAGAGAAGAUAUACCUUUUAUGACUGCUAAACACCGUCACCAUAAUAUCUCAAUAGUAAUAAUUCCUCUUUCGUAUGACCAGGCUUUCUAAGGCAUUCUCUUUUUGUACAUCACGAACUCAUCAAUCUGAAAAAAAAACAAAUAGACAAAGUCAAGUAAAUAUAUACCAUCAUAGAAGAUAGUCAUCCAGAUAUUCAUUUGCUUGAUCUGAUAUUAAUUUGCAAAUAAAAAAGAGAUCAUCCAAUUACAUAAAAAAAAUCAUAAAAGAUAUUCAAGUACACGCCAUAAGCAUAUUGGCAUCAUGAUUGGUAAAACCAGGAACAAAGUGAGCACUUGUGAAAAGGCAUCCCUGCACUAAACUAAUUGCUCCGGCCAUACGUCCACAAAAUAGUACACCCAUGGAACAGAAAACAUGUAAAUACUUCAUCCCUUGUGUUGAGAUAAUGCCAUGUUGGUUGCGUACUGAAAAAAGCACACAUAUUUUUUACGUUGGCUUAGUUUGGUCAAUUGACCGAACACAUUGCAGUUGACUUGAACACCGAUGUCGGAAGAGCUGAAUGCUACAGCUGGACCGUGCGGAUAAACUGCAGGCAGACACGCGAAUGCAUCAGCUAGCACACACAUGACGCAGCUGCAGCAGGAGCACACAAGCCGCACAUGCACGCGACAUAUCACAUGGCCAAGAGAGUGCCGAGUGGCAGCCGGCGUGCACUCGCCGCAAAGGGGAGCAACAGCGAGAUUGGGCACCUCCUCAGGUUGGCUUCUGGGGCGGAAUGUUGGCAUCGCCUGGCUCGAGCCCCUCCUCUUCGUGGGGCUCGACCAGAGGGAGGAAGAGGAGUGGAGAAAAAAACAAAGAAGGAAUCUGCGCCAUGGAUGCCUGCUCUGUUCGCUGCUCUCGUGGAGGCGUGCACUUGCGAUUAGAAGAUGUGACAAGGAAGGCAAGAAGAAAAACGAACAGAAGGCGGCUGGCCCGGACGGCGACCACCACUUAGAUUCAAGCCACCGCCGGCCAUACGUCCCAAGAAAAAAAAGGACACCCAGCUGCUCACCUGACGCUGGAAAAGAUCGAGCCUUCUUCAAGAUGGAGACGGUCCGGUCCAGGCAAGGGUCGUCGGGAGGAGGAAGUAGCCAGAGAAAUCGUCGGCAGGGCGU